GGGCAGUUUGACUGGGGCGGUCGCCUCCCAAAUGGUAACGGAGGCGUACAAAGGUUUCCUCUGAACGGGUAGAAAUCGUAUCUAGAGUGUAAAGGCAAAAGGAAGCUUGACUGUGAGACCUACAAGUCGAGCAGGGACGAAAGUCGGUCUUAGUGAUCUGACGGUACUGAGUGGAAAGGCCGUCACUCAACGGAUAAAAGUUACUCUAG
rnacentral:rRNA from 1 species